rnacentral:rRNA from 1 species
UACCUUACUACAUGGAUACCUGUGGUAAUUCUAGAGCUAAUACAUGCUGAAAACCUCGACUUCGGAAGGGGUGUAUUUAUUAGAUAAAAAACCAAUGCCCUUCGGGGCUCCUUGGUGAAUCAUAAUAACUUAACGAAUCGCAUGGCCUUGCGCCGGCGAUGGUUCAUUCAAAUUUCUGCCCUAUCAACUUUCGAUGGUAGGAUAGUGGCCUACCAUGGUGGCAACGGGUAACGGGGAAUUAGGGUUCGAUUCCGGAGAGGGAGCCUGAGAAACGGCUACCACAUCCAAGGAAGGCAGCAGGCGCGCAAAUUACCCAAUCCCGACACGGGGAGGUAGUGACAAUAAAUACUGAUACGGGGCUCUUUUGGGUCUCGUAAUUGGAAUGAGUACAAUCUAAAUCCCUUAACGAGGAACAAUUGGAGGGCAAGUCUGGUGCCAGCAGCCGCGGUAAUUCCAGCUCCAAUAGCGUAUAUUAAAGUUGUUGCAGUUAAAAAGCUCGUAGUUGAACCUUGGGUCUGGCUGGCCGGUCCGCCUCACCGCGAGUACUGGUCCGGCUGGACCUUUCCUUCUGGGGAAUCUCAUGGCCUUCACUGGCUGUGGGGGGAACCAGGACUUUUACUGUGAAAAAAUUAGAGUGUUCAAAGCAGGCCUUUGCUCGAAUACAUUAGCAUGGAAUAAUAGAAUAGGACGUGCGGUUCUAUUUUGUUGGUUUCUAGGACCGCCGUAAUGAUUAAUAGGGAUAGUCGGGGGCGUCAGUAUUCAGCUGUCAGAGGUGAAAUUCUUGGAUUUGCUGAAGACUAACUACUGCGAAAGCAUUCGCCAAGGAUGUUUUCAUUAAUCAGGGAACGAAAGUUAGGGGAUCGAAGACGAUCAGAUACCGUCGUAGUCUUAACCAUAAACUAUGCCGACUAGGGAUCGGACGGUGUUUCUAUUAUGACCCGUUCGGCACCUUACGAGAAAUCAAAGU